rnacentral:lncRNA from 1 species
GGGAAGUCCCCGUCUUCUUCACUCUUGAUCUAGGUUCGCUCAUCAAAACUGUUUCUGUUUUAUCAGCAACAAUAUUUGUGCUGGCCACCAGUGAGUCGUGACAAGGCUGAAUUCCAUGACAUCAUCUAAAGGUUCUCAACUGUGCACACGACUGGUGUCACUUUAUCAUGUAACAUCAGUUGGAGCUUAAACAGAUGCCGACGAUAGUAGUAAAUACUACUCGUCUGGCUCUUUCCUAGCCUCCAAUUUAAAAAUCUCCCACAGCCAGUUAUUCCAAGGGGUCUUCUGAGACUCUCAUGUUGCUCAUGAGUAGAAUCCUUUUUGGGCUUUUCUGGUGGCUCAGCUGGUAAAGAAUCCACCUGCAAUGCAGGAGACCCUGGUUCAAUUCCUGGGUCAGGAAAGUCCCCUGGAGAAGGGAUAGUCUACUCACUCCAGUAUUCUUGGGCUUCCCUUGUGGCUCAGAUGUAAAGAAUCCGCCUGCAAUGCGGGAGACCUGGGUUGGGAAGAUCCCCUGGAGGAGGGCAUGGUAACCCACUGUAGUAUUCUGGCCUAGAGAAUUCCAUGGACAGAGGAGCCUGGCUAUAGUCCAGAGGGUUGCAAAAAGUCAGACACAACAGAGCGGCUAAACACAGCACAGCAGCAGAAUCCUUUCAGCCCCUGCAGACACCCUCACGUCUCUUCUCUGAACACACACCCAGACGUUUUCUGCCCAGGCUUCGGGUGUUGCUCUAGUUUCUAGUGUUGCUGCUGGCAGGGCUGCUCUGGGCACCAACACCUGCUGAUGACUGGAGUUGUGCUCUGCCAGCUUCAAAGGGCCCUGCAGCGUUGCCUUCUGCUAAAGCACGGACGCUACUGAAGCCAUUUGAUGCCCAGCCCCCUCGACAUGACAGUGCCAUGCUGCCUGGACAGAGCUGACUCGAUUAUUCUGAAAGACAUCCCCAGCUGUGUCUUUGACAUCAACUCAGGAUGGAAUCACACUCUUCCACUGGCUCCAUAAAGAUGUCCCUCUUGUUGCAGGCAGAUUUCUGCGGCGGGAUCUGGAAGAGUGGUGCCUGACGUGCUAAACCCACCUUUCCACCAGAUGGCAGGUAUGUCAUAGCUAUUGAAACUCUCAGGUGAUGUUUUCCAAUAAAGAAAGACCAGGUAAAUACA